AUCUUUGGGAUUUGGAUUGAUAUAUUGGAAGGAGUGCUGUGUAGCUAUUCUUUUUACCAGUUGGGAACUACGUUUCUCCAUGAUUAGACAUUUUAACCAUUCUGUUUGGACAGCAUCUCUGUGAAGCCAUUGUGCCAAGCAAGACCUGAAUAUUUGCAAAUCCUAAGGUUAUCUGAUAUACACGCUGCACAUUCGCUUCCAUAAAAAAAACUACUGAGACUUUGAGGUUGGCUCCAGUCUGAAGACCAGCAUUUGUCCUAGACUCUUGAGGACUGAGGAGAUGCUUGCAACAGAGCACAAGUGUAAGUUUCCUAGCCUGCCAGUCAGCCAGGAAAGGUGUUCAUGUGUGGUCGUUAAGUCUGGAAGCUCUCUAGCUAGCUAGCUUUCCCCAAUUUGUAAACUUACAGUAGGACUACACCAGAGAAAUGCAUCUAUUUUUACUUACGUGUUGUGUUUGUCUGCUCUCCUGGUUUUGUGGGAAAACAAUCCAUAUGUCUUUUUGGUGUAUUUGGUAGAAGGAAUGCAGAGUACGCUGGGGUUUGUAGGGAACAGGAAGGAGAAGGAGAGGGAGAAAAUGUUGCUUAUAAGGGUAGAGAAUGCAAGAAAGGAGAGCAAGGAAAUUGCAGCAGUAAGACUGCUGGAUGACUCAAGUGGGUAACAGAAAGUCUGUGUAUAGACCUGUGUCACCCAUUUUGUGAAAACUGUCCCUUUUAACUGCAUGGAGAUUCUGUCUUCAUGGAAAUACAUUUCUGAAGAGGGAAUAAAGUAUUUUCAUCAUUACUUUGGAAAUGUUCCCUCUCCAUUUGUGUUCUAAUUGCUUCUACUAGUUGUUUGUACUGCCAACAUACUGUGCUGUUCAAAUCAACACAAAUCUAAAAAGAUCUGGAACUGUUCAUUUGCUCUGCAUUGGAAAGAAACCUCAACAACCUUGUAUACUGUACUUAAUUAUAGAAAAUCUGUGGGUUGCUUUUUACUAUUAAUACUGGUCUAAGAUAGUUGAGACUGCCUUUGUUUGGGAACUUUUCAAAACUAAAGUAUUUCAACAG
ensembl:lncRNA